AAGUUUAAAGGUUAUGGAAUGAGUUAUUAAUUGAGGAGAGAGAAGGAGUUAUUAUUUUAUUUGGAAAAAGAAAAGGAAAAAAAAAAUAAUGAUAACUUGGAGACUUAACCUCAUUAUCCUUCAGGUCACCAUCUGCCAUCACGUAGUCAUCGUCGGAGACUCAACUUGUAGCUAGUCGUCGCUCGUUUAGUCGAAAUCUUCUCGUUGAUUGCUGAGUUGAGCAUCUCUUCUUGUCUUCAAAAUCACUUGAAAUCGGUCGUCCCCUCCUUCAUCAAAAUCGUCGUCGCCCGUAGCCCCCUCCUCCGUCGAAACCGUCACCGAUCGUGGUCUCCAUUCGCACAGUGUCGCUAGCCAUCGUCGCACUUGACGAUCAAGGACGCAAGCCGAGUCGAUCUUCUUUUUGUGAGCUACGCGUCCAAGCCGUGUUAGUCUGAGUUGCAUCCCCUUCACCGAGCCGUGUUAGUCUGAGUCGUGUCCCCUUCACCGAGCCGUGUGAGCCACGAUCUCUUAUGCGAGUCGUCUCCGUUUUUUCGAGCCGCACGCAUGCUUCCUCCUCCACAAGUUGUGCGCCUGAGUGCCCUGCCGAGUUGUCCCCUAUCUUGGAGUCACGUUUGGUGAGUUUUUGCUUAGUAUUGAUUGAGUUUGGUACUUCCAUUAAGUACCUAUUUUGUCCUAAAUGAGUUAAGUUAUGGAUUUAUGUUGAUUUAUGUUUGGUUGAAGGUUAAGUAUAAUUUAAGAAAAUGAGGCUAUGAAUUUUUCUAAUUAAGGUUGAGUUGGAUUCAACCUUAAUCUUGGGGUAAGUUUUAAUAAGCUUGGUUGUCUAGUUAAACAGUAGGGUGAUAGUUGACAAAAUUAUUAAUUUUAACUUUGUUCAUCUUUAAGACCGAGUCUUGGGAAGAGUUGAUUGACAACCAGUGAACAAUCUUUAGCAAAUCUUCAGGGUGAUUCCUUCGGGUUCAUUGAGAGCCCAAAUGUAUUUCUAUGGAACUACUGGAUAGCGUGCAUUCGGGAGCACAAUAGUAUGAGGUACUUUAUUAUAGGACUCUAACGGAAUAACUUUUAAGAAUAGAUUUAAAAGAUCA